GCCCGCGGCCUGUAGCAGCCGCCGCGCCGCGCCCCGCCGGGCUGAGGAGGCGGACGAAGGCGGCCGCCGCGCCCCAGCAGCCCGCCGGAGCCCGGCAGCGCCCAGCGAUGUCCGCCAAGGAGGGGAGCAAGGUGCUGCUGCCGCCGCCUCACGCCGCCGGCGAGCGCGCCGUCAAGGCUGUCCCUUUCCCACCAACGCAUCGCUUGACGUCUGAAGAAGUGUUUGACACAGAUGGGAGACCAAGGGUUGACAUUUUGAAGAACCACUUGAUAAAAGAAGGUCGAGUGGAUGAAGAAAUUGCACUUAGAAUCAUCAAUGAGGGUGCUGCAAUAUUGCGGAGGGAAAAAACUAUGAUAGAAGUUGAAGCUCCAAUUACAGUGUGUGGUGAUAUUCAUGGCCAGUUCUUUGAUCUAAUGAAGCUGUUUGAAGUGGGAGGAUCGCCUGCUAACACAAGAUACCUCUUCCUCGGUGACUAUGUAGACAGAGGUUAUUUUAGUAUAGAGUGUGUGCUCUACUUGUGGGUCCUGAAAAUUCUCUACCCAAGCACGUUAUUUCUUUUGAGAGGCAACCAUGAAUGCAGACACCUAACAGAGUAUUUUACCUUUAAGCAAGAAUGUAAAAUAAAGUACUCAGAAAGAGUCUAUGAUGCUUGUAUGGAAGCUUUUGAUUGUCUCCCUCUUGCUGCUCUCUUAAAUCAACAGUUUCUUUGUGUUCAUGGUGGACUUUCACCAGAAAUUAAUACACUAGAUGACAUUAGGAGAUUAGAUAGAUUCAAAGAGCCUCCAGCGUUCGGCCCGAUGUGUGACUUACUGUGGUCAGACCCUUCGGAAGAUUUUGGGAACGAGAGCUCCCAGGAGCAUUUCAGUCACAACACGGUCCGAGGCUGCUCGUACUUUUAUAGCUAUCCAGCGGUUUGUGAAUUUUUGCAAAACAAUAGUUUGUUGUCAAUCAUUAGAGCACACGAAGCACAGGAUGCAGGUUACAGAAUGUACAGGAAAAGUCAAACUACGGGGUUCCCAUCAUUAAUAACCAUUUUUUCAGCACCUAAUUACCUGGAUGUCUACAAUAAUAAAGCUGCUGUAUUAAAAUAUGAGAACAAUGUGAUGAAUAUCCGUCAGUUCAAUUGUUCUCCUCAUCCUUACUGGCUGCCCAACUUCAUGGACGUUUUCACGUGGUCUUUGCCAUUUGUUGGAGAAAAAGUAACAGAGAUGUUGGUGAACGUGUUGAGCAUUUGCUCCGAUGAUGAACUGAUGACAGAGGGAGAAGAUCAAUUUGACGUAGGUACAGCUGCCGCACGGAAAGAAAUCAUCAGGAACAAGAUCCGGGCGAUUGGCAAGAUGGCAAGAGUCUUCUCUGUUCUCAGGGAGGAGAGUGAAAGCGUGCUGACACUCAAGGGUUUGACUCCCACUGGAAUGUUACCUAGUGGAGUGUUGGCUGGAGGACGCCAGACCCUGCAAAGUGAUGCAUUCUAACUGGAAAGUCUUUUCCAAGUUCAAACGCAGAAGAUCAAGUUGACAAAAGGUGGAGCCUGGAGCUGCUGCUAAUUCUUGCAUGGUUGGGACAAGAGGUGACAUCCUCCCUCCCAGAAAACUGUAAGUAGUUGGCAUUCCUUGUUUUCUGCUGUCUGCUGGGAGGAGUCUGUGUGUGCUCAGUCUGUUCUGGUCCUGAACCGACCAGAAGCCCAGAACAGGGUUUCUAGGGGCUGAGUUGAAAGCAGGGACUUGGCUGUGGAGAAACUUGCUGCCACCUGGUGAGCUCCACAGGGAAAACCAGCCCAGUUCUCCCUGCAUCUGUGGGCAAACACAGGAUUUCACCAGCCAAAGUCCUUCCUGGUGUGCAGAACAGCGUUGCUUGCAGAGCUGCUUGCAUUCCAGCCCUUCCUCCUGAGUGGGAACAUUGGCCCCGCUAGCAAAAAGACAGAGGGCUGGGAGGGGGCUGCUUUUCUCUUAGGAAGAGGUAGGGCUCUUCUGCUCUCAGUCUGAACCCUUGAGGACAAUAGUCUCAUGAGCAGCGUGCUUUGUUCUUUUGCUUGGUCCUGGGAAGCCACUGGGCUUUUCCAGAGGCAGGAGAGACACCGUCUGCUCGCGCUUUCCUCCAGUUUCAGUUCUCCUCACCCAUUCCACAGUUCUUUGUUACCAGCAUGUAGUGAAAGUAACCUUUUGCUGUGGGAGAGGUGAGUGCCUUCAGGACACAGAGGCAUGAAACAUCUAAGCUGCUUCACUUGGAAGGAAGCUUCCCCAAGAGCAAAGAAACAAGUCAAAGCUUAUGAGAGCCUUGGUUGGAAAGCUGUGCACAGCUGUAUCACAGGGGUGCUUGCAGCACAGGCUGCCCAAGUUAUGCAGAGUGGAAUGUCUUUUAGUCUCCCCAAAUCUGCUUCCAUCCACUGUUCUGUGUUUGAAUUAAUUCUGAUGGGACCCAGAAACGUUUACCUUAGAAGUACAGUUCAGUUUAAGUCAGGUUUCAGAAGGCUGAUGGAAGUGAAAUGGCUUUUUUUGGCAUGGUGAGCUUGAUGUCUAUUGUUUGGCAAAACCCUUGAUGUAGGAGUGAGAGGCUUUGGAAUCAGCUCUCCCAGCCCUCAGUACUGUGGUUGGCAGGGCAACAGCACGAGGGGCUGGCUGUUUGUGUGAGGGGGUCCCGUCAGACGGUGUUGUUUGGUACCGCGUUGGUUGGAAAGGCUGGGGAACACGCUGCUGGGCUCGAAGCUCCUGAGGCUGGAGACACACUCACUGCAGCUUUCUGCAAACCCAGCUGUGCUGUUCAACACAAAGGCCUUCAGAAACAUCCACCUUGUCACUUGUGCAGGUCCCAGCAGCCUUCAGGGCAGGUGGACACACGUGUCCUGGGCCGUUACCAUUUGCACAGCACCUCGUCCCGCUGCUCAGGCACUGGCUGCACAUCCCACUCCUUCACAGUUCCUUCAUAACCAGAUCUGAGCUGAUGGGCACUAACCCCUGCUGGUAGCCAGCUUCAGAAGUGAACCAGGGGCUACAGUCAGGUUCCACACAGCCCUUAAACCGGGGGGGUGUGAAGUGUUCUGCGUCACAGCCCGGGGCUUUGCUGCCACCCACUGCUGCGGCUCAGGGCUCUGGAGGAAGCUGCCGAGCGCUGGAGAUUGAGCUGCACCAAGCAGCUGAAUCCCCCGUGAGCCUGGCAGAGGGCAGGGGGGUCUGUCUGGGAGGAAAGGAGCACGGCUCACAGCUCCUAGACAAGAUAUCUCUUUUAUUAUACAACAGAGGAGAGACUGUGCUGUAAAUUAAGGCGGUUGGAAGUGCAACAAGCUCACGGAAUCAGCAAGGGGGCUGUUUGAUUGCACAUGGUUGAAAAUGAUGUGUUUUGCACACGAGGAGAGGGUGUGUGCAGGAAGCAAGCUGCACACCCUUGGCUUUAAAAAAGGAGAGCAAACCCCCGGCCCCGGCCGCCCUACUGCCCAACGAUGGCCAGCAGCAAGCGCCGGUAGUCGCCGCUCGUGUCACUGGAGAUCAUUGCAGCCAGGGGCUUCUGGUACAGCUGUGUGAACAUCUGCUUAAUCUGCACGAGGUCAAUCUGUGGGGAGAAGGGAAAAGAGGCACAAGACUUGAGCCCGGUGUAUGAUCGGCUCUCCCACGUCCUGCCCGAGAGGGCGCACGGCGCCGUGCCCGCAGGGGAGGGAGAGGGCUCCUCACCUCGCUGCGGCUGACGAUGAUCCUGAUGAGGGUGGAGUCAUCCGUGCCAGCUCCCUUCAUGGAGUGAUAGAGUCUCUCUGCAAAGAAGGCCGGGCGGUUCAGAGCACACUGCACUGCAAGAAAGCGUAUUUCGAGGGUCAGCUGCAGCAGGGUGUGCUGGAGGGAGUCGGCAGGGGACAGCCAGAGGCUGGUGCUGGGGGUCAUUCAGGAUCCUCUGGCUCACAGGCUGUGUUUCACAGACCUCAGUGUAGUUUCAUGCUGACCAAGUGAGUUAUUCCUCCACGGGAAAAGUUGUGGUUACUAGCAGUUAGCUUCUCUGGAAGUGCUUUUCCAGCUGGCUGGAACCUUUAUUCUCAAGUAGGUAACUUAGAAGCAGCCCUUCUCCUGGGGUCGCUGGGCCCAGCACAGGCUACGGGCAUCUGACCUUCCAGUGCUAGGAUCUCCCUAACAAAGGCACAACUGCAGAGUUCUCCCUCCAGCAGUCAGGGAUGGAUCUCGUUUCAGUUGGCCUGCUCACUCUCAGAGACCAGCCUGCAUUGUGGCACACGAGCCUCUGAGCUGAACUGCUCCACGGGCCUCUUUAGCAGAACAUAAUCUGGGAAGCUUCUGCUUAUCCAUCGUGGCUACAGAAGCGCUGUAGUUUUGGUGAGCACUGGUAGGGCUGGGGCCUGCAGAUCCACUAGUGCUCCUAUAUCUCCCUGAGUGGCUCUCACCAGUGCCAGAUGGGGCUGCAUGUGAGCUGCCUGGCUGCAGUAAGCCAGCAGGAAGAAGGGAAUUCAGAGCAGCUCUUUUAUUUUGCUGAGGUUUUGCUCAGCAAAGGCUGAGCUGUUUGGGGGGUAGGUGGAGGCAGGGAGGAGGAGCAGAAAGAGAACUGCCUGAAGGAGGUUCCUGUUGGCUCUGUGAUCAUGUGUGGGGGUGGCUCAGCUGUCUGAGGAGUGGUUCCCAUGUCCCCUUUCCUAGUUCCAGUCCUGCGUGGGGGAUGCCUGCUUUCUCCGAUUAAGUGUAAAGAGAAUAACCUGAACAACUGAAGCUACUUUAGAGCUGUCAGAGUCUCAGGCUGGGUGCUGACUUGCCACAGGGCCCGUGUUGGACCGGCUGCUCCCUCAGUGCCCUGCAGAAGGUUUAAUUGCCCAGGGGAGGGAGGGACACAGCACUUACAAAUAGUCUUCAAGCCACGUUCCACGUUUCCAGAAAACUCCCGGUCGAUGCUGCUCAGCAAGUCGCGAUUGGCAACCUGCAGGAGAGAGCAGGAUGCGGGUGAGGGAGGGCAGCAACAGCCAGCCUCAGCGGGGCACACCCUGAGCAAGCCCGUGUGACAGCAGUGAAGAACUCCUACCCUGGAGUACGCCUCGACUGUUGCUUUCAGUUGGGGAAAGCUUCUGCUUGCCAGAACCAUAUUAAAGCAAGACUCAUCAGUCCCCAGCUUCCCUUCACCUGCUUGGUACAGACGCUGAGCAUCUUCUUGAGCCUUUUGGUGACGGACACAGAAGUGGCCCAGAACCCUGUCCGUAGGGUGUGCUUUAAGCUGCAGGUGCACCGGCUCAGACCAUCUCACCCCUACCCACCACCUGCUAGUCCUGAGUAAGUCCUGUGCUGAAGUCUCUGGGUUACUCAGUAAUGCAGCUUUCUCCUGAUCUGUUUGUUUCUAGGCUUCAAGUUGCAAAGACUCUUCCCAAAGCAACUAAGGAAUUCCCUUACUGAAUAUGCACACCUGAAAUCUCUCAGGCCUUCUGUUUUACUUAGGAUUCGCUGAUUUCAAGUGAAAAUGUCUCCAGAAAGCACUUGACUCUAGUUGUAAUAUGUCAGCAGGGCUUCUGUGACCUCCCGGGGGCUUUGGGCCGGGGUUGUUGUUGCUGCCCAGUGCAUGGCUGGAUACUGCUGAACGUGCUGGCUGAGCAGGCUGCAUACAUGCUCUCCAAUGCUCUUGUGUCUCUGGUGGUUAAUACAGUAUUUAAGUGAUGUGACUGUCGGUUACUGUAAACUCCUGGGUUUAUCACAAUAAAA